AUUAAAUUUUUAAGGCUAAAACGGCGUUUAAGAUUAAAAUGUUUGAACGAUGACCCUUACUGCAAUUUAUGGGCAUUUAACCUACCAUGUACACUAUUGCAGUAAUAUAUCUGCCCAUUUAUGGGUGACGUACCUACUGGAGCACACUCUAACACAUUACAUUGAUGUUUACUAGGCUAAAAACCUUAAACAAACUUUUUAUUCAGUGACACCUCGUAUACCAACUUAAAAUAUGUACGAAGUUUAUAAUCUGUUUAUGUUACAAUCCUUGUUUCAGGAAAAAUGAUAAGUUGUCUACAGUUAGUUUGGAAGGGAUUUGGGGAAAAAUGAAUCUGAGAAGAAGUUAAGGAAUGAACCUACUACAACGCUACCAUGUGUGACAAAAACCACCUACAUGAAUGAGUUGAUGGUCAAUGGUCAUACUUGCAAAAAUGAAUUAGGCUGUAAGAAGAAAACACAAAUCUUUGAAGAAAAUCAACACAAAGGGCUAUGUUCAGGGCAACUUUGGGAUUCAUAAUAUUUAACAGUUUAUGAUUCUUUAAAAUAAAAUAUAUAAGAGGACUAAAUCUAAAUAUUGAAGCUUUUUUACUUAAAAUUGCAAAGUUCAUAGAGGUGAAAAUGUUACUGUUUUGGACACUUUUAAAUAACUUAACAAAUUUAAACUUUUUAAAUUCUAAAAUAUGAUAAAGUUGAUCUGUAUCGAAUGAGACCUGGGAAUGGAAUUCAUGAGAUCAUUUGCCAAAGGUACUGUACAGUGUACCUGAAUAUAAGGAACUACUGAAAUGAAGAUGUUGAUGAUAGCUGUACUAAUUGGUCAUAAAGAUUUUCUGAAGUGUAUGCCGGGAUGACUGCCUUACAAACCAUAGCCUUUUUUAACCUGCACUAGACUGCAAAUGCAAGCCCGCUUUCAGCUUUCAGCAUGGAUUAUUCACUCGACGUACAAUAAGCCAAGAGAAAUUCAACUUCUGUGAAGAACCAUCUUCAAAACAUUACCGAGAACUGUCAAAAAGUGCAUCACUUUGAAGUAGUUUAUUAGGUUAAGUGUGAUGGCCUUUGACUAUAGUGUCCUAUGGAUAGACUACUAGACAUAUACAUUUUGGAUCAAUUUUAGGUAAAACUUGUUCAUUAAAAGAAUAUCACAUUUUUACGUCAAAAAACAAAACGACCUACCUUUGCUUAGGAAACAGUGAUUAUAAACCAAUCCAAAAUUAUUUCCCUGUUUUAACAACUACAACGAGAUAAAAGUGUAAAAUUAUUGAAUUAUGUUGGAUGAACA